UACAGGCGUGAGCCACCGUGGCUGGCCUAUUUUCCCCUUUUUACCAAAGACCCUAUUCAGCAGGGUAUGAGGAGAUGAAGAGACUUAUUUUCCACCCAAUUUUAUUCUCCUGCCUCUAGGCUCAUGGCUAGGACACAUUUCCCACCUCCCUAUGUAGUGAUCCUCUAACUGGGUUUUUUCCAAUGGAAAGUGCCUGCCCCUCCUAUAUCUAGGCCUUCAGAUGUGGAUGGGUAUUAUGAACUGAAUGAUUGUAUCCAGCCCAAAUAUAUAUAGAGAAGUCCUAACCCCCAGUGUGAUGGUAUUAAGAGAUGGAGCCUCUGAGAGAUAAUUAGGAUUAGAUGAGGUCAUGAAAGCAGAGCCCUCAUUAUAAGACUAGUGCCCUUAUGAGAGGAGAAAGGGAUGCCAGAGUUUCUUCUCUCUACCAUCUGAGGACCCAAAGCACGAAGGUGGCCAUCUGCAAACCAUGAAGAGGGCCCUCGCCAAAGGCCAAAUCUGCCAUUGCCUUGUUCUUGGAUGUCUCAGUCUCCAAUACUGUCAGAAACACAGUUCUUCUGAACUUAUCCCACCCCCGAAGUAAUAUCAGGAAAGUCACCCAUGGCUGCUUUGGGGUAAGUAUUCAGAAAGAAUGGAAAGUUAUGCCUGUCAGCCAUGGUGAAGGGAAGGGAAAUGAAGAUAGGAGGGGGCACAAAGGUUUAAAUUAAUAAAGCCCAGAUUUAUUUUUAGCACCUAUUAUCAGAACCUCCUCCUUCUCUGAGUUAUAUUUCUUUCCUGAAAACACAAUCCAGUGCCAGGAUGGUCUUUACUAUUAACAAACAAACCAAUCAAAAAUUUCUUUGUAAAGCCAUUUUGACUUUUCCUGGGGCCUACCAUCAUUUCUAUAUGUAAAAGGCAAUCAUUAAAUAAAUGCCAAAUUAGUGUAUACAUUUUGGAUUUGUUGUGUGCCAUGGGCUAUGCUGGGUACUGGUCAUAGAGAGGUACAGGAAGUAUGCUUCCUGCUUUGCAUAAAGGGGAACAUGGGGCGACCAUUAUUAUUAGCACUGAUCAAUGGAUGCAAAUACAGAGGAACCAAAUAGAGCAAAGGCUGACUGGAUCUUCCAAAGUCACCAAAAUAACAGUGUCAGAGAGGUCACUAGAAUCCUUGAUCAGUACUAGACACACAGGCAGGCAUUCUUACUUCUCAUCACUUCCCUUCUAACUGCCAUUAUAUCCCCUCUCCGUUUGCAUUGCAGUAUACUUUGCAAGCAUGGAUCAACUUUCAAGCUUAUGUCAUUAUAAAAAUGUUCCAUAUUUUUGAAGGCAGGCCUUGCAAUAUCUCUUAAACCCAGCACAUGAUAAGUUAACUAUUUCCUGCAGAUAGCAAGUACCAACCUAAGUUUAUAAUUCUUGCUAGCCUCCAUUAAAAGUUAAUCUUCCCAGACUGGGCAUUUUGCCAUCUUUCUUCUAUUUUGACCUAACAUCUGUCUUCCCUGGUCUGAGUCUUCCGUCUCCAGCUCGAUGUGCAUUUCUGGUUAAGCCUGCGAUUGCUUCCUGUCUCCAACUCUUCCUCUAUUCCAUGGAUCCUUCAGAGAAUCCUUCUUUGUGUGCUGGUAGGCCAUAGGAAAGCACUUUCCAUGUUGAAAACCAAGGAGGGAAAAAAAAGGAAAGAAACCAAAUCCUACAUCUAGGUCAAGGCAAGAGCAGCUGGAUUGGAUUGCACUUUUCCAACUCCGAAUGUUCUCCCUGUUGCCACCAGCUUCCAACAAGGAAAAUUAAAAGUGAAUUAGCCUGUUGAACCCCAACUCAAGAAGUCAGCAGGUAAUGUGAGCACUUUCCUGGAAGAUGCCCUUGGGUGAGGCCCUGUCUAACCAAGUUGCUGUUUUUAGACUCAGACACGUUGGCUCUAAAAGCCGCCACUUGGUAAGGAAUUUCGUACAGACGAAUUCACUCUUCUGCAAACCUUCCUGAUAAAGCCACGAGAUGAGUCCAAACUACCUCAUAACCUUGGAGCCGGUCUGUCUGGAAGGGGCCAGAAUAAUCAGACAAGUGGACUAGUUGAAAUCUUUCAUGAAAUAUCUGGAAACAGGUAAUAAUGAGAAAACAGAAUUCCAGAUGAAGUUACACAGAAUGAAAAGCCAAGCAAAGGCCGUCGUUAGUGAAAGAGAGCUCCAAUGUUUAAGAAUAGCCUCCCCUGUAGUUCUCUCCUCCCUGUGACAUCAAAGGAAGGUCUGCAGCCCACACCUCAGUUGUCGUCAUGUUUCACUGCAUCUAGCAACCAAUUCUGACUGUCAGAAAAUACAACACCUUCAGUAACUAAACAUUGGCCCACAGCCCAUGAGCAGGAGCCUAGCGAACUCCGGGGUGACAUGUAGCCGUGCUUCAGAGCAAUAAGUCAGAGAGACAGGUGGAGGCACGCACUGUUUGGACCAGUCGCACUCAGAAACCAAACAUCGAGUGUCCAGCGGCGUGGCUCCCAGGUUCCUCCAGGAUCACCAAGUGGUCUACUGUUUUCCAGACCUCAGCCUGUCCUUGGCAGAGUUUCGGUCCAGGUGACCCGAGAAGGAACUGUUGAUUUUGGAAAUGGCUGAGACUGUAUUUCUGCCACAACAGAUUGGUUCUCCACUCUCUUUUACUUAAUAAAAUUUUAUGAUUGUG